UCAUCGUAGUUGUGAGUAAUAAGUGUCUAAGGAAAUAAUAUGUAAUCUUUCGUAAAUGAUUGAAAACGUGUAACGUGCGUUCGAAUAAUUUCGAUGAAUUUCGUGUCUUUUAGAUAAAAAAAAAACAAAAAGAAAAAAAUAGAAACGAAAGAAGGAGAAAAAUUAAUAAGGAUAAGAAUGGACAUGCGUUUCUUUACGAUCAUUAGCAUGAUUUUCAUGUGCAUCAUUAUUGAUACGAUCACGGCUCAAGUUACCGAAAAAACUAAUAAUGAGUCUAUGAAAACCAUGACAUCGCAUCAAGGAUAUAAAUGGCAUGGAAGAAAUGGAGGUCAUCCAGCUAGACUUCAAAUAAUUCAUGGAUCAAUUAUACCAUGUCCAACAGGACAACAACAUGAUCCGAAUGGUAAAUGUAGGAAUGUAGUAUAAUUUUUGGACAAACUUAUUUAUGCAAUAACGAUAGCUCCUAUUUUCAAUUAAAUAUAAUAUAGAAUUGAUUGGAAUUAGUUGGAGAAUAUAAUAUACCACGUGUAUUGUUUUUCUCAAAGUUAAGAAGUUUCAAAUACGUGAGAUAUAGUUAGAUUUAUGUAAUUGCGUUAAACGAGUCGAUCAGUCGCAACAACAUAUUUUUAUAAUACUGUAUAUACUUAUAUAUUCAUGUACGUGUUUACGUUAGUAAUGAUCGUUUCGUAAGAAAAUCAAUUUUUUCUUUUAAUUAAGCAAUAUUACGUAUUAUCCUAGCUAAUAAUUCUAAUCAUAGCUCGAAACGUUGAUACCUCGAUUGUAAUGAUAUAAUUUAUUUUAAACGAUUAAACGAUUAAAAAAAUUUAACGAUAUUCGUAUUAUUAAGUUUUUUUUUUUGUUUUUUCUCUCGACGGAAAAGUAAAAAUAACUCUGAUUAGUGCUUUAGAUAUCGAUAAAAUAAUAAAGGAAAUACUGGAGAAUAUAAUCGUAGAUUUAAUAGACUUAUCUGGAUACGUACGUGUAUUUAUCGAAGGUAAAAAUACUUUAUGUAUGUGUUCCUUACGUUAUUAUUAGACUCGAUAUGGAAAUAAAAGAUGAAUGAGAAUGCA